AGAUUGAACGCUGGCGGCGUGCCUAACACAUGCAAGUCGAGCGGUAACAGGUGUAGCAAUACAUGCUGACGAGCGGCGAACGGGUGAGUAAUGCUUUGGAAUCUUCCCAGUAGUGGGGAAUAACCAGUCGAAAGAUUGGCUAAUACCGCAUACGUCUGUAAAGGGAAAGCGGGGGCUCGUAAGACCUCGCGCUAUUGGAUGAGCCAAAGUCGGAUUAGCUAGUUGGUGGGGUAAUGGCCUACCAAGGCGACAAUCCGUAGCUGGUCUGAGAGGACGACCAGCCACACCGGAACUGAGACACGGUCCGGACUCCUACGGGAGGCAGCAGUGGGGAAUAUUGCGCAAUGGGCGAAAGCCUGACGCAGCGACGCCGCGUGAGGGAUGAAGGCCUUCGGGUUGUAAACCUCUUUCAGCAGGGACGAAGCGAAGUGACGGUACCUGCAGAAGAAGCCCGGCUAACUACGUGCCAGCAGCCGC
rnacentral:rRNA from 1 species